UCUAUUAUUAACAGGAUUAAGAAGAGAACAUUACCACAAGCAGCAGCAGCGGCAGUACUGUUGUUAGAAGUACAGCUCUGGGAAGCCCAGAUCACACACUAACUGAUUUACUUUCUGCUGCUUACUUUUCACCACACUCUGCUCUACCUGCUCUCUGGCUGAACCUGGAUCCUAGGAAGGAAAGUCUUCCCCCUGUAUUCUGCUCUACCUGUUCUCUAGGGGAAGCUCGGUCCCGGGUUUUAGAUUCAACAUACUGAGGAUACUCCAGAGAAUGUGUCCAAUCACUUCAUUCUAACAGUACUCUGGAGUCAGUCAAAUGUCACGAACUGGAGUUGCCAAAUCC